AGGAGCCACGACCCAAAGAGGGUGGUAGGCCCGUUUCGCGCGUGGCGAGUGCAGCGCAUUCCAGCUAUCAUAGAGUCGGGUUGUUUGGGAUUGCAACCUAAAGCCGGUGGUAAACUCCAUCGAAGGCUAAAUAUGACCACGAGUCCGAUAGCGAACAAGUACCGUGAGGGAAAAUUGAAAAGAACUUUGAAGAGAGAGCGAAAUAGUGCGUGAAACCGCUCAGAGGGAAGCGGAUGGGCCCUCGAAGGCUACACGGUGCAGUGGGGAUNCACGCCGUUUCGGCUGUCGUCGAUGUUGCUGGCUGUGUNCGGUUCGCGAUGAUUCGUCAUCGNUGCCGUGNGCGGCGUNAUGUCGGCGAUNGGCGGCGGUAUUUUCCCCGUGCCCGGUUGUGACGCCACCUGCGUUGACGAUGGUGCGGCGGAGUGAAAUGACUGCGGUCGUCGUGGCUGCNGCUUGUUCCGUAUGCUGUGAUGUACGCGUCGAAUUGNGCUUCGCUNACGUUGCGGCCAUUGUUAGCNNGUCNUUACUGCCNCCGCUUGCGCUGCUGGCNCGUCGCUAGUGUGACGUCGCUGCCUGCGGAGACUCGUGNUCCAACGGCGGCGUCGGNUGNNCUACGGCGUGUUCGGUNUAGCCGGGUGGCAUUGGUGGUGAGUAGACGNUCUCCCAUCCAUCCCGUCUUGAAACACGGACCAAGGAGUUCAUCAUGUGCGCAGGUUAUUGGGUGUCGAGAAUACCUAACGGCCUAGUGAAAGCGAGCGACGCGGUUCGGCCGUGUUCGCACUUGGCGAGAUCUCGUCGCAUGGCGACGCUAUUGGCAGCGUUGUCACAUGGCGGCGGGCGCAUCGCCGGCCCGUUUCAUCAGUCGCNCACUGGGAGCGGAGCUAGAGCGCACACGAUGAGACCCGAAAGAUGGUGAACUAUGCUUGGACAGGACGAAGCCAGAGGAAACUCUGGUGGAAGUCCGNAGCGAUUCUGACGUGCAAAUCGAUCGUCUGAUCUGAGUAUAGGGGCGAAAGACUAAUCGAACCAUCUAGUAGCUGGUUCCCUCCGAAGUUUCCCUCAGGAUAGCAGGUGCUCGUACAGCGGCAGUCUCAUCUGGUAAAGCUAAUGAUUAGAGGUCUUGGGAUCGAAACGANCUCAACCUAUUCUCAAACUAUAAAUGGAUGAGAUGUCUGGCUUGCUUAGCUUUUGUGAAGCCCAGACANNNNUGGAUGCCGGAGUGCCUAGUGGGCCNCUUUUGGUAAGCAGAACUGGCGCUGCGGGAUGAACCGAACGCUGGGUUACGGUGCCCGACUGUGCUCGGAUGACGCUCAUCAGAUACCAUAAAAGGUGUUGGUUGCUAUAGACAGCAGGACGGUGGCCAUGGAAGUCGGAAUCCGCUAAGGAGUGUGUAACAACUCACCUGCCGAAGCAACCAGCCCUGAAAAUGGAUGGCGCUGUAGCGUCCGACCUAUACCCGGCCGUCGAGGUACGCGAGUGGUGCGUCUUNACGNCGUGCCGGNNUGNNCUCGCGUUAAUCAUGCCUCGACGAGUAGGAGGGUCGCGGCGGUAUGCGGUGAAGGGUUAUUGGCGCGAGCCAGCCUGGAGCUGCCGUCGGUGCAGAUCUUGGUGGUAGUAGCAAAUACUCAAGCGAGAACCUUGAGGACUGAAGUGGAGAAGGGUUCCAUGUGAACAGCAGUUGAACAUGGGUCAGUCGAUCCUAAGACAUCGGCGAAAGCCGUUCAGAAGCGGUGACGAUGCGCCUGUGCAUGCUUUGCGGCGUGUGCUGNUUGCGCCGCACCGGUCGAAAGGGAAUCGGGUUAAUAUUCCCGAACCCGGCGACGGAGAUUGACUNCUCGUUAGGCGCUUGCGGCCUUAACCGGCUGCUUGUGUCUUGGGUAGUGCAAGGCGGCAACGCAAACGAGCUCGGACACGCUGGUCGAUGCCCUGGGAAGAGUUGUCUUUUCUUCAUAAGGGGCCAACUCCCUGGAAUCGGUUCAGCCGGAGAUAGGGAGAUGGUUGAAUGCUCAAUGAAGCCCGAAAAGCACCGCGUUUAUUGUGGUGUCCGGUGCGCAUCGGCCGGCCCUGGAAAAUCCGAGGGAGCGAAUGAUUUUNGUGCCGGAUCGUACCCAUAUCCGCAUCA
rnacentral:rRNA from 1 species